rnacentral:rRNA from 1 species
CACAUAUUGUGAGCUCGAUGAGUAGGGCGGGACACGUGGUAUCCUGUCUGAAUAUGGGGGGACCAUCCUCCAAGGCUAAAUACUCCUGACUGACCGAUAGUGAACCAGUACCGUGAGGGAAAGGCGAAAAGAACCCCGGCGAGGGGAGUGAAAAAGAACCUGAAACCGUGUACGUACAAGCAGUGGGAGCACGCUUAGGCGUGUGACUGCGUACCUUUUGUAUAAUGGGUCAGCGACUUAUAUUCUGUAGCAAGGUUAACCGAAUAGGGGAGCCGAAGGGAAACCGAGUCUUAACUGGGCGUUAAGUUGCAGGGUAUAGACCCGAAACCCGGUGAUCUAGCCAUGGGCAGGUUGAAGGUUGGGUAACACUAACUGGAGGACCGAACCGACUAAUGUUGAAAAAUUAGCGGAUGACUUGUGGCUGGGGGUGAAAGGCCAAUCAAACCGGGAGAUAGCUGGUUCUCCCCGAAAGCUAUUUAGGUAGCGCCUCGUGAAUUCAUCUCCGGGGGUAGAGCACUGUUUCGGCAAGGGGGUCAUCCCGACUUACCAACCCGAUGCAAACUGCGAAUACCGGAGAAUGUUAUCACGGGAGACACACGGCGGGUGCUAACGUCCGUCGUGAAGAGGGAAACAACCCAGACCGCCAGCUAAGGUCCCAAAGUCAUGGUUAAGUGGGAAACGAUGUGGGAAGGCCCAGACAGCCAGGAUGUUGGCUUAGAAGCAGCCAUCAUUUAAAGAAAGCGUAAUAGCUCACUGGUCGAGUCGGCCUGCGCGGAAGAUGUAACGGGGCUAAACCAUGCACCGAAGCUGCGGCAGCGACACUAUGUGUUGUUGGGUAGGGGAGCGUUCUGUAAGCCUGCGAAGGUGUGCUGUGAGGCAUGCUGGAGGUAUCAGAAGUGCGAAUGCUGACAUAAGUAACGAUAAAGCGGGUGAAAAGCCCGCUCGCCGGAAGACCAAGGGUUCCUGUCCAACGUUAAUCGGGGCAGGGUGAGUCGACCCCUAAGGCGAGGCCGAAAGGCGUAGUCGAUGGGAAACAGGUUAAUAUUCCUGUACUUGGUGUUACUGCGAAGGGGGGACGGAGAAGGCUAUGUUGGCCGGGC